CGAACGCUGGCGGCGUGCUUCAUACAUGCAAGUCGAACGAGAAAGCCCCCUUCGGGGGGUUAGUAGAGUGGCGAACGGGUGCGUAACACGUGAGCAAUCUGCCUCGAAGCCGGGGAUAACCCUUCUAACGGGGGGCUAAUACCGGAUGUGUUUACCGGAUGGCAUCGUCUGGUGAAUAAAGAUGGCGUGCUGAACGCUAUCACUUCGAGAUGAGCUCGCGGCCUAUUAGCUUGUUGGUGGGGUAAUGGCCUACCAAGGCAGCGAUGGGUAGCCGGCCUGAGAGGGUGACCGGCCACAUUGGGACUGAGAUACGGCCCAGACUCCUACGGGAGGCAGCAGUAGGGAAUAUUGCGCAAUGGGCGAAAGCCUGACGCAGCAACGCCGCGUGAGCGAUGAAGGCCUUCGGGUCGUAAAGCUCUGUCAGGCGGGAAGAAUCCCGGCCGAUGGAUAAUAUCGGCCGGCUGACGGUACCGCCAGAGGAAGCUCCGGCUAACUCC
rnacentral:rRNA from 1 species